GAGGGGUGGGGGAUAGCAUCGGGGGAGAUGCUUUGAAUGCCAUUGAAAUCUUAGCUUGUACAAACAAAGCAUAAGAAUUGAAAGGUGCCUGAAGAAAACCCCCCAACAUCAAUGUCUUCCAUAAACUUACUCUCAAUGCUUCAAUGAUGUCGCCACCCUUCAGGCAACUUACACAAGUCAACUUUUCAUUAUGGAUUCUUCUCAUCAACCCUCUCUUCUCCCAAAUAAGUUCAUGAUUUUUCAUCUC
rnacentral:lncRNA from 1 species